UGGGGAAUUUUGGACAAUGGGGGCAACCCUGAUCCAGCCAUCCCGCGUGUGCGAUGAAGGCCUUCGGGUUGUAAAGCACUUUUGGCAGGGAAGAAACAGCCUGGGCUAAUAUCCCGGGCGACUGACGGUACCUGCAGAAUAAGCACCGGCUAACUACGUGCCAGCAGCCGCGGUAAUACGUAGGGUGCAAGCGUUAAUCGGAAUUACUGGGCGUAAAGCGUGCGCAGGCGGUUCGGAAAGAAAGGUGUGAAAUCCCAGUGCUUAACCUUGGAACUGCACUUUUAACUACCGGGCUAGAGUACGUCAGAGGGGGGUAGAAUUCCACGUGUAGCAGUGAAAUGCGUAGAGAUGUGGAGGAAUACCGAUGGCGAAGGCAGCCCCCUGGGAUGAUACUGACGCUCAUGCACGAAAGCGUGGGGAGCAAACA
rnacentral:rRNA from 1 species